UGAGUUGGCCAGGCGGCCGCGUUGCGCCCUUCGGGGCGCACCGAGGAACGUCCGGGCUCCGUAGGGCAGGGUGGUGGGUAACGCCCACCCGGGGUGACCCGCGGGACAGUGCCACAGAAAGCAGACCGCCACCGGGAGGGAUUCGUCUCGCCCGGUGGUCAGGGUGAAACGGUGGUGUAAGAGACCACCAGCGCGGCAGGUGACUGUCGCGGCUCGGUAAACCCCACCCGGAGCAAGACCAGACAGCAGGCGCAUGAGGGCUGCCCGCCCGAUGCCUGCGGGUAGGUCGCUAGAGGCGUGCGGCAACGUACGUCGUAGAUGGAUGGCCGUCACCAGGGCGUGAGCCCUGGCUACAAAACCCGGCGUAUCGGCCAACUCAUCCG
rnacentral:RNase_P_RNA from 1 species